AACGAACGCUGGCGGCAGGCCUAACACAUGCAAGUCGAGGGGCAGCAUAGAAGUAGCAAUACUUUGGUGGCGACCGGCGCACGGGUGAGUAACGCGUAUGCAACCUACCUAUCAGAGGGGAAUAACCCGGCGAAAGUCGGACUAAUACCGCAUAAAACAGGGGCACCGCAUGGUGAUAUUUGUUAAAGAAAUUCGCUGAUAGAUGGGCAUGCGUUCCAUUAGGUAGUUGGUGAGGUAACGGCUCACCAAGCCGACGAUGGAUAGGGGAACUGAGAGGUUGGUCCCCCACACUGGUACGGAGACACGGACCAGACUCCUACGGGAGGCAGCAGUGAGGAAUAUUGGUCAAUGGGCGAGAGCCUGAACCAGCCAAGUCGCGUGAAGGAAGAAGGAUCUAUGGUUCGUAAACUUCUUUUGCAGGGGAAUAAAGUGCAGGACGUGUCCUGUUUUGUAUGUGCCCUGAGAAUAAGGAUCGGCUAACUCCGUGCCAGCAGCCGCCGUAACAC
rnacentral:rRNA from 1 species